GAUGAAGAACGUAGCGAAAUGCGAUAAGUAGUGUGAAUUGCAGAAUUCAGUGAAUCAUCGAAUCUUUGAACGCACAUUGCGCCCCUUGGUAUUCCAUGGGGCAUGCCUGUUCGAGCGUCAUUUGUACCUUCAAGCUUUGCUUGGUGUUGGGUGUUUGUCCUGAGGGACUCGCCUUAAAGUAAUUGGCAGCCAGUGUUUUGGUUUUGAAGCGCAGCACGAGUCGCGAUUCAAAGCUAUACGCCAGCUUCCACAAGCCUUUUUCACUUUUGACCUCGGAUCAGGUAGGGAUACCCGCUGAACUUAAGCAUAUCAAUAAGCGGAGGA
rnacentral:misc_RNA from 1 species